ensembl:lncRNA
GUCUGGGUUUCAGAAAAAGCCCUCGGCCUAUUUUUUAUCCGCAGCGUCAACACAGUUUGUCACGGCAGGGGCACCAAACAUGCAGGCUGCCAAAACACCCCAUUCUGCACGGGGUGUUAGAUGCCCCCCCACCCCUUCCCACCUCCCUCCCCCUGCAGACACCAUAAAUCACCAGGUCUCUUCCAGGUUGACCUGCUGAUGAACCACACUUUUAAGUCAUUUGAAUAGCUAAACUACUUAAUAAUAAGCUACUGGAAAAGGUCUGCCAACAGCAACGGGAUGAUGAAAAUAAAGUGCUUAAAGGAGAGAUCAACUGGGUCAGCGUCAGCGGCGGAGGAAGGAAGGGCGAGAAUCAACGGCGGGUGAAAGUCAGAAAAAUAGACACAGGAAGAGACACACAUGGAGAAACAAACACACCCGGAGGGGAACGAGAGGGAGCAGAGAACCGGAGGAGUGAACGAGCAGACUCCAGUGUCCCUGGGCGAGGCCUGCAGGAAAUGAUGUUCGGUUUCGGAGAGAUGAGGAUGAGAAAAGCAGCUGUGGGGGGGGUGUCUGCCGCCUCCUCUGGGGGCCAACGCCGCCGAUGCCACCAACACCACGCGGUUGAUGAGCAAAAAGCGCCGUCGGUGAACGGCCGCUGAGGAAACGCUGAUUAGACUGCGGCUCCGGCUCUCUGCGUGUCACUAGUAACGUCUGAUCUGAGCGAUGCAAAAAACAACAGCAACGUGCCAUGAAAGAAUAAAACAUGCAGAGUUACAAAUAACUGAGAUAACAGUGGAAAAAUACAGAUACGCACGCAUUGAUGGCCGGGAUAAUUGUAGUAAUAGACUCACUUAAUCCCAGUUUAAGAGUUUUCAUUUAUCGCGUAACAAAGUAAACAAACACACAGUAGAACGGAGUAAAAACAGGUCUGAGUCGUGCCUGAGAUCAAAAUGUCCAAAGGACGAUUAAGUACACCGUUUAUAGCACGAAGCAGCAACAAAACCACAAAAAGUCCAGACGAAGAGUGGGAAGAACGGAGGGGACGGCCGGGGUCCUUUUCGGCUGAAUAUGAUCCCACGCAGAUGGUGCUGGGACAGAGGCGGGGG